UAAGAGCAGCAAGCACUCUUAACCACUGAGCCAUCUCUCCAGUACUGCAAUUCUAUUCGAUAAGUGAUAAGAGGAACAUAAACACUACAAUAAUAAAACUGGCAUUAUAAUUUGCUUCUGUUCACUAUCUGGUUACUGAGUUAGAUAUAGCAUGCUUUCUAGCUCAUGUUAGGUCCUACAUCAUCUGAGCAAUAGGCAGUAAUACUGCCAGCAACCGCUGCUAUUUCUCUCCUUGUAUGCUGUGAACUUUUACCCAGAGCUGCUCCACUACCCACCUGCUCAACCCCAAUUUUAAGAACUUGAGACAUUUUGAAGUUUUCUAGCCAUGUUGCUUAUAAAUCUGCUGUACCUUUUUUUUCUUUUUUCUUUUUUUUUUUUAAUGGACGUUUAUGGUACAAUCUCAUUAUUAUAAUUUUCCUGUUUUGUCACAUGUGAUAACCAAUGUUAGAUUUUAAAAAUUUCCUAUCUGUGGAGUGAUUCCUCAAAUUUUAUGUAAAUGUGAAAUGAUGAAAAGUAAGUAGAUCAAUGAAUUCUCACUUUAUGUACUUUGAAAUUAUGUUAACUCCUUAAAUGGAAAUCAGUCUUAAAGGCGGAAGGGACAAAUGUAUUCGAAACUGUUCCUGCUACUGCCACAUGGUGGCGCCAUGUCAGCUGGUGAAUGUUAAACUUUGGCAAACUUUGGAUUAGUCUUCAGUUGAUUAAGAACUGUUUGAUCUGCGCAGGAAUGCACAGUUGUGCUCUGGCCUCCAUUUCACAGAAGAGAUAACCAGAGUCCAGACAAGAUGUGUCACUAAACAGAGUUUGCUGAUUCGUCUAGACUUCCUGGCUAGGGAUUCUCAGAGAUCCAUCGGAGAGGGGAUGGCAGUUUGUCCAUGGGUCACAUGAGAGCAAGCAUUCCUCCCCGAAACAUUUGGAUGUCCGUGAGACUAGGCCGUUUCCUGAUAAUAAAUACAUUUCUAACAGAUGGAAGUCUAUUCAACUCUUCAGGCUGGAGAUAUCUGACUCAUCUGACAGUGCAGUGGAGACUGUGAGACUCAGAGAUGAUGGAACUGGAACUGCACAGAGCCCAGACGAUUCAGAAACUAAAAGGAAAAUUCUGACUCUGUUCCAUCCCACCACACAGCCCACGUGCGACUCUGACAGGAAAGCGAACGAACCUUUAUAGUGUAUUAAGCUAUGAUACAAACGGGAACCGCAUCUUUAUUGUGUCUUAAACUGUGCUGUGAAGAGGGACUAAACCUUUAUUGUGUACUAAGCUGCGGAGUGAAUAGGAAAUAAACCUUUACUGCGUUAACGCCUGUGAGGUUUUUCAAGUUGUUUGUUUUGCAGCAGCUAACACAACUGGACUCCAGUGGGCUGAUGGGAACACAGCAACUAGCUCAUGGAAUGAUCAAGUCCUAGACCUGGAAAGAGUCCCUAAAAAAGGUGAGGAAAUGUAAGACGGAUUCUGAAUUAAUAAUCAGAAACACUUGUCUGUAGUUGGGCAGGAGAAGAUAGACCUGGAAGGAAGUCUAAUAAACAGGGCUCUGAAGGAGUGAGUAGAGACAGGUUUACAGAAGAACCUUAAAAUCAGAAGGGAGGUUUGUGUCUCUAGGAAGCAAGGAGAGCACAGUGUAGGCAGAAUCACUCGGCUGCAGUGGGCACUGGACUGUCAAGGACACUGCCUGAUCCUCCCCUCUCUUCCUUCUUGUGAGAAUGUGGGUGAAUAGAACCCCUUCCCUGGGAACUGGACUGGCUAGUUAGCAGCUUCCCUCUGGGGACAGUCCACUUUCUAUUUCUAUUGUUGGGAAGAACAGAUAUAUGCUUUUUAAUCUGCAUAGCGGAAUCUCUUGUCUUUUAACACUUUUUCAACAAAUUUUAAUGUGGUUUGUUUCUAUGGUUGUUAUGGGAACAUAUUAUGUUUGUGAGAAUAAGGGCUCUGACCAUCUCCCAUACCCCCUAACCCCAUCCCACACAUCACCUUCAGCUCCUUCUCCAGGACUCAAGGGAUUUCUUAACUCCAUUGUCCUUGUUAAAACCCAGCAUCAGAAAGAAAAAUCUGGAAUUCAUUUAUCUGAAGAUAUAAAUGAUUAUAGGUGACUCUUACAUGUGUCUAAAGGUGACUUUUUGUUGAGAAAAUUGUCAAAUUAGUAAGAAUUAUAGUUAUCUGAUUCAAAGGAUAAAGAUUCUAAGUGCACCAGGAUAUAGAACAGGCAAUAGGAAAGCCAAAUAAAGAUCUGAGAGCGACCAGAUCUUGGGGUCCAGAAUUUAGCACUUGAAUGCAUAGCAGCACCAGACCAAUUCCCAAUAGAAGAGCAUUGUGGUACAUGCAGGAUUUUACAGGAAACUGUAACUACCAAACUAUCUCAGAAGUAGAAAAUGUAAAUAAAAAUAGUACAAAUCCCACGGGCAUGGUGGCCCUUACAUAUAGUCUUACUGUUUGGUAACAUACAGAAAGAUUCUAGGGUUGAUGUUGGCCUGACUUACAUAGUAAGUUCUUGUGUAGCCAGGACCACAGAUUAAGACACUAUCUCAAACAAAAACACAGCAGCAGCAAAUAGAGAAAUUUCACAAAAAGCUGUUUUAUU